rnacentral:rRNA from 1 species
CGGAGGAUGCAAGCGUUAUCCGGAUUUAUUGGGUUUAAAGGGUGCGCAGGUUGUUUGAUAAGUCAGUGGUGAAAGUCUGUCGCUUAACGGUAGGAUUGCCAUUGAUACUGUUAGACUUGAAUAUGGAUGAGGUAGGCGGAAUGUGUAGUGUAGCGGUGAAAUGCAUAGAUAUUACACAGAACACCGAUUGCGAAGGCAGCUUACUAAUCCAUCAUUGACGCUGAGGCACGAAAGCGUGGGGAUCAAA